AGUGAACGCUGGCGGUAGGCCUAACACAUGCAAGUCGAACGGCAGCACAGUAAGAGCUUGCUCUUACGGGUGGCGAGUGGCGGACAGGUGAGGAAUACAUCGGAAUCUACUUUUUCGUGGGGGAUAACGUAGGGAAACUUACGCUAAUACCGCAUACGACCUACGGGUGAAAGCAGGGGAUCUUCGGACCUUGCGCGAUUGAAUGAGCCGAUGUCGGAUUAGCUAGUUGGCGGGGUAAAGGCCCACCAAGGCGACGAUCCGUAGCUGGUCUGAGAGGAUGAUCAGCCACACUGGCACUGAGGCACGGUCCAGACUCCUACGGGAGGCAGCAGUGGGGAAUAUUGGACAAUGGGCGCAAGCCUGAUCCAGCCAUACCGCGUGAGUGAAGAAGGCCUUCGGGUUGUAAAGCCCUUUUGUUGGUAAAGAAAAGCAGCAGGUUAAUCCCCCGCUGUUCUGACGGUACCCAAAGAAUAAGCACCGGCUAACUUCGUG
rnacentral:rRNA from 1 species